rnacentral:rRNA from 1 species
AUGGAGAAGAAGAUGGGAAGGACGGCCGCUGAUCUGGAAAUAUGGUCCAAAACUCUCUUCAGUGAUGCAAAAGUGCAGUUCCACUUGGCCUGCGAGGUAAUUCUUCGGCUAGAUGUUGCACAAGAGAAUAGAAGGUUCUCGCGGAGUGAAUUCCUCCUGAGGAAGCAACUCAAGAUGAGGAUCCUGGAUCUAGCUGCGGUGGAGAGAGCAAGAAAUCGACAUGCAUCUAGGAUCACAUGGCUUAGAGUUGGAGAUGCAUGCACGACAUUUUUUCAAGCAAAGAUCAACUCAAGAAGAAGAACUUCAUACACUCUCUGCAAACAGACAUGGCUACUGCCACUGCCACUGCCCAUGAAGACAAAACUUCAGCUGUACACCACCACUUUUUUAACCUGCUGGGACGAAAGGAAACCAGAGGACGAUCCAUCAAUUGGGAUGAACUAG